rnacentral:rRNA from 1 species
UCGAACGAGAAAUCUCGAGCUUGCUCGAGAGAGUAAAGUGGCGCACGGGUGAGUAACGCGUGGGUAACCUGUCCUUAAAUUUGGGAUAAUCCACCGAAAGGUGGCCUAAUACCAAAUAUAGUCCUGAGAACCAAGGUUCUUUGGAUGAAAGCUGACCUCUUCAUGAAAGUUGGCGUUUGAGGAGGGGCUCGCGUACCAUUAGCUUGUUGGUAGGGUAAUGGCCUACCAAGGCUACGAUGGUUAGCUGGUCUGAGAAGAUGACCAGCCACACUGGAACUGAAACACGGUCCAGACUCCUACGGGAGGCAGCAGUGAGGAAUCUUGCGCAAUGGGGGAAACCCUGACGGAGCGACGCCGCGUGGGCGAAGAAGGCCGCAAGGUUGUAAAGCCCUUUUCUUGACGAAGAAUAAGGUCAGGAGUGGAACGCCUGGCCGAUGACGUUAGUCGAGGAAGAAGCCCCGGCCAAUUACGUGCCAGCAGCCGCGGUAACACGUAUGGGGCAAGCGUUGUUCGGAAU